CACGUAGGGGGCGAGCGUUGUCCGGAUUUAUUGGGCGUAAAGAGCUCGUAGGCGGUUUCGUAAGUCGGAUGUGAAAACUCCAGGCUCAACUUGGAGACGCCAUUCGAUACUGCGAUGACUUGAGUCCGGUAGGGGAGUGUGGAAUUCCUGGUGUAGCGGUGAAAUGCGCAGAUAUCAGGAAGAACACCCGUGGCGAAGGCGGUUCUCUGGGACGGUACUGACGCUGAGACGCGAAAGCGUGGGGAGCGAACAGG
rnacentral:rRNA from 1 species